AGCUCACUGUGUGCACUAGUGUCUCCUCACUUGCACUGGAUACACGAAGCAAGACGUUUUGACUUCCCCGAGAUCUCCCUGAAACCCGCCAAACAUUCACACGGACGGCGGACUACAGUUCCAGCAAACCUAGGCCUGGGGAAAUCAUUAACCAGAGACAAAGCACAACAGCACACUGGUGGAUCUGAGGUACUGCGCCGGUCAUGUGGGGAU
rnacentral:lncRNA from 1 species